AGUUGAACCACUGAAAUCAGUACUUAGGUUAGGUAUGGCCAUUGAUUAAGGCUUAUUUGGAUACAGCCCCAGGUGCUUUGGCUCCUUCUCAAACCAAGCUUAUUUUUACAACUUAUGGACAGCAGUGUCCCGUGAAAAGAUUGGUUCUCUUAGUAAGAUACAUACUUUUAUUUUUUAAAAAAUUAUACCGUGCCCAACUGGCAUAGCUUUCAGAAUAGAUACUACAGUAUCAUAAACCAUGAUAAAAACAAAUAAUAAUAAAGGGAAGGGAAAGGGACCCCUGACCAUUAGGUCCAGUCAUGGCCGACUCUUGGGUUGCGGCACUCAUCUUGCUUUAUUGGCCGAGGGAGCCGGCGUACAGCUUCUGGGUCAUGUGACCAGCAUGACAGCCACUUCUGGCAAACGAGCAGCGCACGGAAACGCUGUUUACCUUCCUGCUGGAGCGGUACCUAUUUGUCUACUUGCACUUUGACGUGCUUUUGAACUGCUAGGUUGGCAGGAGCAGGGGCCGAGCAACGGGAGCUCACCCCGAUGUGGGGAUUCGAACCGCUAACCUUCUGAUCGGCAAGCCCUAGGCUCUGUGGUUUAACCCACAGCGCAUAAUUAAAACAGAAGGGAAGACAAAAUAGAAAAGUAACACAGCUGACAUAUCAAAAGGCCUGUGGACAACAACAAAAAAUGCCUUCCCUAGUGCUGGAAAGACAUGGCACUGAGAGCAAUAUCAGCUUUCUUGGGGCGAGCACCAGAGAAGGACUUCUGGUAAUAGAUUUAGUGUAUGUGGUUUAUUUAAAUAUUUCUAGCCCUCCCCUCAUUGUCAAUGAGUUUCAGGGCCAAGUACCUACCAUGAAGCCACAAACAAUCACGUUUAAUGCAGAGUUCCUUGAGAGCAAAUAAAACGUGGUCAAAACAACAAAGUCUACAAGAGAAGAGCAGGUAGCAUCCUUCCAUCCUAAAGCUGCAAGGCCAAAAGCCAGCAAAUACAUCUUCAGUGGGUGCUGAAAAUAGCAAAGAGGUGGUGUAAAUUAAGAGUAGUGCAAGGGAGUAGAAUGGAGAGUGGUGCAUGAGCAGGUAUGGUUGCGUGCAGCAUCUUAAGCUGAGAAAAGGCAUCCUUUUUUUGUUUCUCAGAAGGUUCAAUAAGCAAAAGGUUCACAGAGGUGUAAAUUCUUGGGAGCUGUUUGAAUUCCUGUUGAUAGGAAUGCCUCCUGACGGCACAGCUCCUGAAUCUUUUAAGAGCUACACCACAGUCAGGAGUUCAAGUGCUGAACAUUUACCUGUGGCUUCAUUUCUAUGACAACCAAACUCUCUCCUUCUGAAUUUCUGAUAUAGCAUGUUUUUAAGUGGACGGCUGAAACAACAAGAUCUGCAGCAUAAGACUAAAAGACAGAACAUGUUUACCAUGUUAUAUACCAUAGUCAUUUUUCAACUUAUGACCAUACUGCCUUCCAUUCACCUGUUCAUCCUGUUGAUGCUGCCCCUACAAGUACUGUACGAUAAGGAUUUGGGAAUAUUGGAUUUGUUUUUAAAUUUUUUGUUUAUUUUUGUUUUUUGAUUUUGAUGUAUUGUGUGUUUUGUUUUUUUCUUUGACUUUGGUUUUUAUUGACUUGUAUUGUUCAAUUGCUAUUUAUGUCUAC
rnacentral:lncRNA from 1 species